UACGUCAAAAAAACAGCCUUUUAAAAGUGAUUUAUAUACGGACCUCCUCCGUGCAGAGCUGCCGGUAAACUCUCUCCAGGUCCUCCAGCUCCGUCAGCGCUGAAAUGGUCUCCAUACUGACCGAGGACAAGGAGCCAGAGUCGAAUCUUCUCGCUGCUAAGGCUCCGCUGUCAGCCAUCUUCCGCCACCGAUACAGGACGUCAUUGUGUUGGUGAACACCCUGGAUUUAGCCUGUCAGAAUGCGUUGACGGUGAGGCAUGCGAGGCAGAACUGAAGCAGUACCUGAGAAGUCAAAUUCUGGUGCUUUGACAGCAAUCUGCCUCGUCAUUGAGGGUGGAAUAUAGAUGCAAACAAGGUCGACAUCUUGGUGCAGCAGGACGUCAUCAGAUCGGCUGGUGUGAAACGGGAUGCCGAGCUCCUUUGCCAAGCAGCAUGCCUCCUCUUCGCUUUUUCCCCAGACUGCAUGGACCUCAAAACCUUCGGCUUUCAACAACGGUACCAGCACUCGGGCUGUGCUGCCCGUGCCAAAUACACCGACUCCUGGCAACAUGGCAGUGCCACUCAGUGCGACCUUACGUGCUAACCAUAGCCAGCCUCACCAACAUCCCAACAGCAUAUAUUCACUUUCUUCUCAUGCCUUGACUGUUUCUGGAAAUGAAGGACUAUACCUGUAAAAAUAAAAAGGAGUUAAAUGCUAUGUCACAUUGACCUAACCUGCAACAUGUGUAAGUAUCACACUUUUUUGUUUAUGUUGUUGCCAUGCAAUACCUAAAACUAAAGAUGGGCAAUAAAACCCAUGGAGUGCACACUCGUCACUGUUAACACUGUUCAUUCAAAGCAGUUAAGGCUGAAUUUAGGACCAGACACAAGGACAAUUAAUCUAUUUCACAUUAUUACAAUAACCAAAACCAAACACAGUAAUUUGUCUCUUUACACACAAUAUCUAUUACCUCCAGUGACUGUAUCAACGA